rnacentral:lncRNA from 13 species
AUCUAUCAACAAUGUGGUUUGACCUUGUUUCAGGGCAACAAAGUGGAAAAACAGUAUGGUGAAGUUGGUCCUAGUCACUGGUCUUCAGCCAGUUUAGCAUUUCCCCCACUAAAUGGUUAGGAUUGGGGAAGCUGAUCCUAGAUAUGUACCUAAACUAAACUUCACCCCAGAGCCGGAUAAACAGGCUUUAUCAACGGAAGUGGCAGUUGCUUUUGAUUGAAUGUCCUGUUCCAAUUAUACUCGGUGCAAAAGUCUUGUUGGUCAUAGACCUACAUGUACAGACCAUACAGGUUACAAACAAUCCAUGAAAACAACCAAGUCCUUUAACCUUUCUUUCAGAAGACAUACUUUAAUGCGUAGUUACAUUCUAAAAUGUAUCUACAGUAUGAAAACAUGGCUGAACAGUAUACAAACAGUGUCUCCCUCUCUCUCUCAUAUAUAUAUAUAAAUAAGAGAGAGAGAGAGAGAAAUGUUCACCCUUAUUUUAGCAGGGAUCUUUUAGGUGACCACAGAGUCAGGACACCUAUCUUAAAGACGGCACCCUACACAGGGAAAUUUCCCCAAUCACUGCCUUGAGGCAUUGGGACCUCUUUUUUUUUUGACCAGAAGAAAGAAUGCCUCCUAUUCACCCUCCAACACCACUUCCAGCAGCAUCUGGUCUCCCAUCCAUGAACAACCAGGAACAACCCUGCUUAGCUUCAGAGGCAAGCCAGCAGUGGGAUGCACUUAUAAUAAACAUUGCAGUUUCUGCUCUCCUGUCUGGAGACACACACACUAACACACCUCUCUGGAGACAGACAGUGAUCAGCAGGCUCCACUCCUGGCUACAUCACAUGACCAGGUAACAUAAUCGAGAGAGAUGAGUCAUCCAGUUGUAAAUCUUUCUUUAUAUGACUCCAUUUCUUUCUUAUAUGGACCAAUCAUUCUAGUGGCUCAUUUAAAGGAAGACAAAACACUGAACAUAAUAGGAAUUAUUUGACAAUCAACUCACUUACUCAAUUUCUGACUCACGGCACAAUUCAAACUUAUUUUUCCACUUUGUGUGUGUUGUUCGGCUUUUAUACUGAUUGUAUUAAAAGGAUGGCAAUGACAAGAACAUCCAUAUUAUCGGCCUGGCUGUUUCCCUAAUCAGGAAGUACAUUUGAAUUUGGAACGACUUGUUCUUCUGCAUUCCUUAGUUUCUAUUCGCUGAGUGUAUAAAACAUGAACAACGACUGUUAUUUCCUGGAACACGGACUGAACUGGUGAGUCCAGGUGAAUGCUGGGAUCCUUUAUUGAUGUGACUUGUUAAAUCCACUUAGAUGAAAGGGUGGAAACAGGUUAAACAAGGAUUUUUUAAGCCAUGAGACAAUUGACAGGAAAAUACCUAGUCAGUUGUCCAACAAUGUAUUCCACUGAAAUGUGUUAACAGUUUUUAAUAAUCGCUAGGACCCAUUAGACCCAAUACUUAGGUCACCUUUUCAAAACUCUUCACACAGUGAGCACAACAACAGUCUAUGUGGGCUAAACUAUGGAUCAUUUUUUCAUUGCUUUGGCACAAAAUGCAUUCAAUGACUACAUCUUUCAAUUUUCAUGAACUCUUUUCUCUGUCACGCCCUGACCUUAGUUAUCUCUGUUUUUGUUAUUAUUUUGGUUAGGUCAGGGUGUGACGAGGGUAGGUAUACUUUUGUUUGUCUUGUCUAGGGUUUUUGUAGAUCCAGGUUUUUUUUUGUAAGUCUAGGUAAUUGUAUGUCUAUGGUGGCCUGAAUUGGUUCCCAAUCAGAGGCAGCUGUUUAUCGUUGUCUCUGAUUGGGGAUCCUAUUUAGGUUACCAUUUUCCCUUUUGAAUUUGUGGGUUCUUGUCUAUGUGUAGUUGCCUGUCAGCACUUGUUUAUAUAGCGUCAUGGUUUGUUUUUUUGUUAGAUUGUUCAGUGUUCAAUUAGUCUAAUAAAAGAGAAUGUACGCAUACCACACUGUGCCUNNNNNNNNNNGGCCCUACACAGAGAGUACACAGCGGCAGAAUACCUGACCACUGUGACUGACCCAAAAUUAAGGAAAGCUUUGACUAUGUACAGACUCAGUGAGCAUAGCCUUGCUAUUGAGAAAGGCCGCCGUAGGCAGACAUGGCUCUCAAGAGAAGACUGCCCACAAAAUGAGGUGGAAACUGAGCUGCACUUCCUAACCUCCUGCCCAAUGUAUGACCAUAUUAGAGAGACAUAUUUCCCUCAGAUUACACAGAUCCACAAAGAAUUUGAAAACAAAUCCAAUUUUGAAAAACUCCCAUAUCUAC